rnacentral:rRNA from 1 species
UACGUAGGGUGCAAGCGUUGUCCGGAAUUAUUGGGCGUGAAGAGCUCGUAGGCGGUCUGUCGCGUCGGAUGUGAAACCCCUGGGCUUAACCCUGGGCCUGCAUUCGAUACGGGCAGACUAGAGUUCGGUAGGGGAGACUGGAAUUCCUGGUGUAGCGGUGAAAUGCGCAGAUAUCAGGAGGAACACCGGUGGCGAAGGCGGGUCUCUAGGCCGACACUGACGCUGAGGAGCGAAAGCGUGGGGAGCGAACAGG